rnacentral:rRNA from 1 species
AUUGAACGCUGGCGGCAGGCCUAACACAUGCAAGUCGAGCGGAGCGGCGGACGGGCGAGUAAUGCCUAGGAAUCUGCCUGGUAGUGGGGGAUAAAGUCCGGAAACGGGCGCUAAUACCGCAUACUAUCAGAUGAGCCUCGGGCGGAUGAGCUCUUUGGUGGGGUAAAGGCCUACCAAGGCGACGAUCCGUAACUGGUAUGAGAGGAUGAUCAGUCAAACUGGAACUGAGACACGGUCCAGACUCCUACGGGAGGCCGCAGUGGGGAAUAUUGGACAAUGGGCGAAAGCCUGAUCCAGCCAUGCCGCGUGUGUGAAGAAGGUCUUCGGAUUGUAAAGCACUUUAAGUUGGGAGGCGUUACCAACAGAAUAAGCACCGGCUAACUUCGUGCCAGCAGCCGCGGUAAUUC